AUGCAAGUCGAGCGGAAACGAGUUAUCUGAACCUUCGGGGGACGAUAACGGCGUCGAGCGGCGGACGGGUGAGUAAUGCCUAGGAAAUUGCCCUGAUGUGGGGGAUAACCAUUGGAAACGAUGGCUAAUACCGCAUAAUGCCUACGGGCCAAAGAGGGGGACCUUCGGGCCUCUCGCGUCAGGAUAUGCCUAGGUGGGAUUAGCUAGUUGGUGAGGUAAUGGCUCACCAAGGCGACGAUCCCUAGCUGGUCUGAGAGGAUGAUCAGCCACACUGGAACUGAGACACGGUCCAGACUCCUACGGGAGGCAGCAGUGGGGAAUAUUGCACAAUGGGCGCAAGCCUGAUGCAGCCAUGCCGCGUGUGUGAAGAAGGCCUUCGGGUUGUAAAGCACUUUCAGUCGUGAGGAAGGUGGUGUAGUUAAUAGCUGCAUUAUUUGACGUUAGCGACAGAAGAAGCACCGGCUAACUCCGUGCCAGCAGCCGCGGUAAUACGGAGGGUGCGAGCGUUAAUCGGAAUUACUGGGCGUAAAGCGCAUGCAGGUGGUUUGUUAAGUCAGAUGUGAAAGCCCGGGGCUCAACCUCGGAAUAGCAUUUGAAACUGGCAGACUAGAGUACUGUAGAGGGGGGUAGAAUUUCAGGUGUAGCGGUGAAAUGCGUAGAGAUCUGAAGGAAUACCGGUGGCGAAGGCGGCCCCCUGGACAGAUACUGACACUCAGAUGCGAAAGCGUGGGGAGCAAACAGGAUUAGAUACCCUGGUAGUCCACGCCGUAAACGAUGUCUACUUGGAGGUUGUGGCCUUGAGCCGUGGCUUUCGGAGCUAACGCGUUAAGUAGACCGCCUGGGGAGUACGGUCGCAAGAUUAAAACUCAAAUGAAUUGACGGGGGCCCGCACAAGCGGUGGAGCAUGUGGUUUAAUUCGAUGCAACGCGAAGAACCUUACCUACUCUUGACAUCCAGAGAACUUUCCAGAGAUGGAUUGGUGCCUUCGGGAACUCUGAGACAGGUGCUGCAUGGCUGUCGUCAGCUCGUGUUGUGAAAUGUUGGGUUAAGUCCCGCAACGAGCGCAACCCUUAUCCUUGUUUGCCAGCGAGUAAUGUCGGGAACUCCAGGGAGACUGCCGGUGAUAAACCGGAGGAAGGUGGGGACGACGUCAAGUCAUCAUGGCCCUUACGAGUAGGGCUACACACGUCCUACAAUGGCGCAUACAGAGGGCAGCAAGCUAGCGAUAGUGAGCGAAUCCCAAAAAGUGCGUCGUAGUCCGGAUUGGAGUCUGCAACUCGACUCCAUGAAGUCGGAAUCGCUAGUAAUCGUGGAUCAGAAUGCCACGGUGAAUACGUUCCCGGGCCUUGUACACACCGCCCGUCACACCAUGGGAGUGGGCUGCAAAAGAAGUAGGUAGUUU
rnacentral:rRNA from 1 species